rnacentral:rRNA from 1 species
AUUGAACGCUGGCGGCAUGCUUUACGCAUGCAAGUCGAACGGUAACAGGCCGCAAGGUGCUGACGAGUGGCGAACGGGUGAGUAAUGCAUCGGAACGUGCCCAGUCGUGGGGGAUAACUACUCGAAAGAGUAGCUAAUACCGCAUACGAUCUAUGGAUGAAAGCGGGGGACCGUAAGGCCUCGCGCGAUUGGAGCGGCCGAUGUCAGAUUAGGUAGUUGGUGGGGUAAAGGCUCACCAAGCCAACGAUCUGUAGCUGGUCUGAGAGGACGACCAGCCACACUGGGACUGAGACACGGCCCAGACUCCUACGGGAGGCAGCAGUGGGGAAUUUUGGACAAUGGGCGAAAGCCUGAUCCAGCAAUGCCGCGUGCAGGAAGAAGGCCUUCGGGUUGUAAACUGCUUUUGUACGGAACGAAACGGCUCUGGUUAAUACCCGGGGAUAAUGACGGUACCGUAAGAAUAAGCACCGGCUAACUACGUG